CAAGUUCAAUGCUAAAAACAGCUGACAUUUUUAUUUUAUGUAAACAAAGGAUCGAAUUUUCUACUUUGGUAAAAUUUAACAAAAAUAUACAAUAGAAUGGUCAAAGUUGAUGUUGAGUACUGUCCGAAAUGCAAUUUCGAGUGGCAAUGCAAAAUGCUACAAAAUUUCCUACUCCAACAAAAACCAGAUGCGGAAGUCGUAUGUUCUAAAGGACGUCAGGGGUCAUUUGAAGUAAAAAUAGAUGACACUUUGGUACAUUCCAAAUUGCAGUCGUUUGCAUUUCCUGAUCACGAAAGUGUUUUGGAAAAUGUACGACGUGCCGAAAAGGGUCAACCAAUAGAAAAAGUUAAAGAGCAACCAAUUGACAAUUGCAUGUUAAUGUGAUAGCAAAAAUGCAAUCGACACAGUGACUUGAAAACUCCUGAGUACGCUGUAAUUUUCCAAUCCCUUACGUUUAAAAUUAUAAAUGAGAAAAGCUAGCAUACCUUGGCAUAUGAAACAAAUAGAAGCACUGCGAAGGGCAAAUCGAUACAAGUUGAUGUGGAACAUUGGUGAGCGCUAGAUUACAUUCUUUUAAAUUUGUGGUUCACCGUACAAUUUGCGUUUAGUGGCUUAUGUGCAGCGCAUGCGCGGCAGUGCAGAUCCCUGCAGAAAUAUAUAAUGAA